rnacentral:lncRNA from 1 species
AUCACUUCUACCCCUGAUGCUCAGGAUGUACGGCAGAGGAGCAGUGGAGAGAUCACAAGAGCCAGAGGACAAGGACAUCUGCUGAGAGAUUGUGUCUUAUGGCAGGAAACUAGACUCAUGAAAGCUCAAGAGUACAGCUGCCUGAACAAGACCUGAAAGACACUUCAGCGUGGCUGGGGGAAAUCUCACCAGACCCCACCCCUGGGUGAAGAGCUACGUGCAAAUAAUGGCUGCUGAGAAAAGGAAUAUACCAGUCUUCUCCAAGAGCCCACAGGUUGAAGAAAAGAACAAAGACCCACAAGCUGCCCUCUGGCUUUACAUGUGUCAGAGUUCUUUCAAUGCUCCCAUGCAUACAUAAAUAAGCAUAAUCAAUAUUUCCAACACGGAGUUUGAGUAACAGAGCAAGAGGACCUCCUUAUGUGACGGGAUGAGCUGAAGUACAGUGCAUGCCGUGUGAGUUACAGCACUAAGAGCCGAUGAUGGCAGGGAAAGGGAAGCAACUGUAUCCCCAUCUUGUCAGAAACACUUGGCUUGUCCUGAGUGCUCUUCAGCGUCCUUCCUGUCACAUUAGCAGGAGGACCAUGUUGGAAAGUUGGACAAGUGACAAAGAACAUGCAUUUUACUUCCAAUUAUGUGUAAUUACUUUUCUGGGGUGCCAAGAGAAAGAAAG